rnacentral:sRNA from 1 species
GCGAGGCCUACGUUUUCUGCUGUCUUCAUCAGCGUGGGCCGGGGGCCAUCAUGAGGAAGCCACGAGCAGCCGUGGGAAGUGGUCACAGGAAGCAGGCAGCCAGCCAGGAAGGGAGGCAGAAGCGUGCUAAGAACAACAGUCAGGCCAAGCCUUCUGCCUGUGAUGGUCUGGCCAGGCAGCCGGAAGAGGUGGUAUUGCAGGCUUCUGUCUCCUCAUACCAUGUAUUCAGAGACUUAGCUGAAGUCACAGCCUUCCGAGGGAGCCUGCUAAGCUGGUACGACCAAGAGAAACGGGACCUACCAUGGAGAAGACGGGCAGAAGAUGAGGUGGACCUGGACAGGCGGGCAUAUGCUGGUCAGUACAUCUCCUGAGAGCAGGGCUACUUUGCCUCGAGGCCCUUGGGUCUGGGGGCUGUGGGCCAGGUAGGGCAGGUCAGCAGUGUCCUCAUGCCAACCCCUUUCCCCUAGUGUGGGUCUCAGAGGUCAUGCUGCAGCAGACCCAGGUUGCCACUGUGAUCAACUACUAUACCGGAUGGAUGAAGGUGACUCCAGGGGAGGAAGGGAAGGGUCAUGGGUCAGACCCCAGAUGAGAGCCUGUACUUUGGGGUGGGUGUAGAGAAGGCUUCCUCUACCACCUUCGCCCUUGACCUUGUCUUUUUCUGCCUGCCUGUGGCUAUAGAAGUGGCCUACACUGCAGGACCUGGCCAGUGCUUCCCUGGAGGAGGUGAAUCAACUCUGGGCUGGCCUGGGCUACUAUUCUCGUGGCCGGCGGCUGCAGGAGGGAGCUCGGAAGGUAAGGGGAUGGCAGGA